rnacentral:misc_RNA from 1 species
GCGGAGGGACAUUACCGAGUUUACAACUCCCAAACCCAAUGUGAACGUUACCAAACUGUUGCCUCGGCGGGAUCUCUGCCCCGGGUGCGUCGCAGCCCCGGACCAAGGCGCCCGCCGGAGGACCAACCAAAACUCUUAUUGUAUACCCCCUCGCGGGUUUUUUACUAUCUGAGCCAUCUCGGCGCCCCUCGUGGGCGUUUCGAAAAUGAAUCAAAACUUUCAACAACGGAUCUCUUGGUUCUGGCAUCGAUGAAGAACGCAGCGAAAUGCGAUAAGUAAUGUGAAUUGCAGAAUUCAGUGAAUCAUCGAAUCUUUGAACGCACAUUGCGCCCGCCAGUAUUCUGGCGGGCAUGCCUGUCCGAGCGUCAUUUCAACCCUCGAACCCCUCCGGGGGGUCGGCGUUGGGGAUCGGCCCUUUACGGGGCCGGCCCCGAAAUACAGUGGCGGUCUCGCCGCAGCCUCUCCUGCGCAGUAGUUUGCACACUCGCAUCGGGAGCGCGGCGCGUCCACAGCCGUUAAACACCCCAAACUUCUGAAAUGUUGACCUCGGAUCAGGUAGGAAUACCCGCUGAACUUAA